GACGAACGCUGGCGGCGUGCUUAACACAUGCAAGUCGAACGGAGUGGCGAACGGGUGAGUAACACGUGGGUGACCUGCCCUGCACUUCGGGAUAAGCCUGGGAAACUGGGUCUAAUACCGGGUAGUGGGGGCUGGGCCCGCGGCCUAUCGGCUUGUUGGUGGGGUAAUGGCCUACAAAGGCGGCGACGGGUAGCCGGCCUGAGAGGGUGGACGGCCACAUGGGGACGGAGACACGGACCAGACUCGUACGGGGGGCAGCAGUGGGGAAUAGUGCACAAUGGGCGGAAGCCUGAUGCAGGGACGCCGAGUGGGGGAGGACGGCCGUCGGGUUGUAAACUCCUUUCACCAUCGACGCGGUAGAUGGAGAAGAAGCACCGGCUAACUACGUGCCAGCCGCCGCGGUAAUUC
rnacentral:rRNA from 1 species